rnacentral:rRNA from 1 species
UGGGGAAUAUUGCACAAUGGGCGCAAGCCUGAUGCAGCCAUGCCGCGUGUGUGAAGAAGGCCUUCGGGUUGUAAAGCACUUUCAGCGAGGAGGAAGGCAGUCGUGUUAAUAGCACGAUUGAUUGACGUUACUCGCAGAAGAAGCACCGGCUAACUCCGUGCCAGCAGCCGCGGUAAUACGGAGGGUGCAAGCGUUAAUCGGAAUUACUGGGCGUAAAGCGCACGCAGGCGGUUUGUUAUGUCAGAUGUGAAAUCCCCGCGCUUAACGUGGGAACUGCAUUUGAAACUGGCAAGCUAGAGUCUUGUAGAGGGGGGUAGAAUUCCAGGUGUAGCGGUGAAAUGCGUAGAGAUCUGGAGGAAUACCGGUGGCGAAGGCGGCCCCCUGGACAAAGACUGACGCUCAGGUGCGAAAGCGUGGGGAGCAAACA